CUUUUACGUCACCUUUCACCGGUUCAGCACCCGUUCUCUGGUCUGCGCAUGCGCCCGCCUCAGGCCUUCUUUUGUUCCUAUGGCAACGGGUCCUUCACCAACGCCGCCUCUUUUGGCUCUUCCCGGGAUUGAUUUCCUUCAUCCUCAGGACAUGUGUUCCUUCAUCUGUCUGGCAAACAUUUUCCGACUUCCUCCUCCAUGCCCUCUUGUCCUGAAAGAAGAUACAGAAAUGAACUAGCUACGGCCUCCUGCCCCUGGGAUCUCCUGUUUUGGGGGACCUAAGGAAGCAAAGACACACAUUGUAGUAAGACUGACCACAGUGGAGACCAGGACGGGGUGCAUUGGAAUUUAAAGGGGACUGCUUAGUGACAUCACAGAAAUCUUCCCAGUGGAGAUGGCGUUUGGCUGGGUGAGAGUGUGGGCAGAGACUGGGGGGGCAUUCCAAGUGGAGGAACUGCCCUGUUUGAAGUUCAGAGGUUCCAGCGCCUGAGCCGGAGUCACUUUUUCCCUGGAGGGUUAAUUGGGAAGUGGGAAGAGAAGUAGAGAUAACAGCAUGAGGAAGCCAAGCUUGUCACCCAUCUUGUGCUUCCCUAGCUUCAGCCAAUCAUGAAACUCCCUCGGGGGGCCUUGCUAUCUAGUUGAUAUUUCCUUUAAAUCAAGUACUUUUUAAAAACCUCAAAAAGGAAAAACAAUAAUGUCCACUUAAUCGUGUACUCAAUAUGCUCUUUAUAGUUCUCUAAUGCAUAUUCAAAUUAUAUUACUGUUAAGAAUUGUUAAUGUGUCACCCAAGAUCUUCCACUGCCCACCAGUGCACCGAGCCUGCUCUCUGCAGGAGAUGGCUAUGGCAGGGAGUGAAGAGGAACUCCUGUGGAAUACCAAGUGUAUUCCAGUUCCAAACCUUAGUCCUUCCUGUUUUCUCCAUUGUCCUUCAUAUUAGUCUGUUGGGGCUGAUAAAUACAUAGACAAAAGCAAAUACCACCCAGUGGGUGGUUUAAACAACAAAAAUUUAUUUUCUCAGAGUUCUGGAGAUUGAAAGUUCAAUUUCAGGCCACCAUCAUUUUGGGUUUCUGAAGACUCUGUCCUCACAUGACCUUUUCUUGGUGCAAAGAGAGAGUGAUCUCUGAUGUCUCUUCUUGUAAAGACAUGAGAUUCCUAUUCUGUGAUCUCUUUGACUUUAAUUACUUCCUUAGAGGCCCAUUUCCAAUAUAGCCACAUUGGGGACUAGGGCUUUAGCAUAUGAACUUAGGGGACAUUCAGUCCUUAACACCCAUCUUUGGGAAAGAAGGUUUGCUUGGGAGGUGAGGUGGGGCUGAACCUUGUACUAUCUCUGCUUAGAGGCUGGGCCAUGUGGCAGGAGGAGCAGAGAUCCUUGAGGGAGGUUGGAAGUGACAUCUGGGGUCUGUCCCAGGGAGAGGACCCUGUCCACCUGGGGGGAGAUAGUGCAAGCUCCCGGCCAAGGCUUCAGGGGGUCCUCUCUCCUCUCAGCCUCUCUCCUGCAUUUUUGGAAACGUUCAGCAUGACAACCUCCAAAUCAGAAGCGAAGACAACAAAAAUUUGUUUUUGAGUCCACAGGCUCAGUUCAGCCUGCACAUGGGCUUGUUGGGCUUUUCAAUGAUCUAAAACUUUAUAGUAGUGGCCAACAUUGUAUCUCUGAAUAACUAUUUCAAUUUACUAAAUAUUUGAAAAGUUUCAUAGAACAGUGAAUGGAUGGACAGCAGGAGACACCCCUGCACACUUGUCAGAAUGGCCAAGUCCAGAGUCUGACCACACCAAUUGCUGGCAAGGACGCGAAGCCAUGGAACUCUUGUUUAUCUUCAGCCACCUGGGAAGACAGUUGGUGGUUUCUUCCAAGAUUCAACACAUUCUUACUCUCAUCCAGCAAUUGUGUGCCUGCUUAUUAACCAACCAACUGGGAAAUGUAUGUCCCCACAUGUGAACGAAUGUAGCAGUUUUAUAAUCUCCAAAACCAGAGGCAACCUGGAUGCCUUUGUGCUAGUCAGCUUCACAUCCUAUGACCAAAUACCUGAGAAAAUCAACUUUGAGGGAGAAAAGAUUCAUUUUUGUCUCAUGGUCUCAGAGGUUUAGUCCAUGGUUGCUUGGUGUUGAAGAAGUACAUUGUGACUGGGCACAUCUACAUGGUAGAGGCUGGUUUACCUCAGGAUGGCUGGGAGGUGACCAGAGAGGAAGAGGAGGUGCUAGUGAUGCAUCUCUUCCCCCACCAGGUCCCACCUCCUGAAGGUUCCACCAAAUCCCAAUGGCACCACAGGCUGGAGAUCAAGCCUUCUACACAUACACCUUUGGAGGACAUGCAGGAUUCAAACUAUAGCCCAUCUCUGAUGGAUGAGCAGGAAACUCAGGAGCAACUUUGAAGAGUGCUUUUAUUUUUAUUUUUCUUUGGUGGUGGUGCUGGGGAUUCAACCCAGGGCCUUGAUGCAUACAAGGCAAGCCCUCUACCAGCUGAGCUACAUCCUCAGCCCCUGGAGACUGCAUUUCUACAUAGUAAUGUUCCUUGGCUUCUGAUUAUUACGCAAGCUUUGUUUUUCCUUUAUAUGAACCUUCCAGGGCCUGCGCUGCUAAGUGUGUCAGGCUGUACCUUCAAAGUCCACCAGGCCGUCCCCGUUGAGGUCGAUGUCCUGCAGGAUUUCGUCCACCUCCCGCUGGCUGAGGCGCUCCCCCAGCAGGACCUUGAGGGCCGCCCGGAGCUCCCCGACGCUGAUGCAGCCGUCCCCGUUGGUGUCGAACUGUGGCGCAUUGGUCAUGGCCUGGGGUCACCGACUGGGUCUGCCCUGCUCAGCCCCCGACUCGCGCAGCCCAGCCCCCCAGCCCCAGGCCCACCUCCCGGAAGGCAUCCCGGAGCUCCCGGACGCCAAUCAUGUCUGCCGUCUCUGCCAGCAGCUUGGGGCCCAUCAGCUCCACAAAGUCCUCGAAGUCCACUUUCCCGCCACCUGGGGGGUCACACCCACCUGCUAGAGACCCCAGCCUCUGCCCCCGGCCCUCAUCCCAGCCUCAGAAAUGGGUCCUUCCCCCUCUGUUUCCUGGCAUCAGCCUCUAACUGAGGCAUGGGUUUGGCCAAGAGGAGAGCCACUGUUUAGAGCUCCCUGGACGCUCCUCGCCCCUCCAUUUCCUGACGUCGCUCAGGUCUUGGCGCCCUGAGCCGCUCUGGGGCCUCACACUGUCUCCCUCUCUGUGGAGGACAGCCCUGGCCUUGCCCCACCUCUCUUGGAGGGUGGUAGAUUUGGGGGAGGCAGAAUGCUUGCUUCGAGAACAACCUAGCCCCUGGGCUCUGGGGACAGCCUGCACGGUCACCCUGGUCCUGGCAGGGUGUCUGGAGAACUAGGGAUGGGGCAGGUUUGAAGCACGUACUGAUUUGCUGCGAGAUCUCGAUGAGCUCCAUCUCCGUGGGCAUGUAGCCCAGGGUCCGCAUGCAGGCACCCAGCUCCCGGUAGCCGAUGUAGCCGUCCCGGUCUCGGUCAAACUCCUGGAAGGCGGCCUGCAGCUCUGCCGGGCAGGGUGGGGUUAGUCCCUCCUUCGCUCCCGCUGCAUCCUAGCCUGGAUCAGCCCCUUCUCCUCCCCUGGUCCAAUCAUUCCCUCCUUCCAAACGUCAGUUCCCAUUUGCUGCCUCAGGAACUUUGCACAAGCUGUUUGUUAAAAAGUUCUUCUUUCAGUGAAUAUUGAAGGAGCAUCUUCUAUAUGCCAGGGUCUGCUCUGGGCACUAGGGAUGUAGCAGUGAAUAAAAAAAGAAAGGAAGUGCCA